UGGGGAAUAUUGCACAAUGGGCGCAAGCCUGAUGCAGCCAUGCCGCGUGUAUGAAGAAGGCCUUCGGGUUGUAAAGUACUUUCAGUCGGGAGGAAGGUGGUAAGGUUAAUAACCUUGGCAAUUGACGUUACCGACAGAAGAAGCACCGGCUAACUCCGUGCCAGCAGCAGCGGUAAUACGGAGGGUGCAAGCGUUAAUCGGAAUUACUGGGCGUAAAGCGCACGCAGGCGGUCUGUCAAGUCGGAUGUGAAAUCCCCGGGCUCAACCUGGGAACUGCAUUAGAAACUGGCAGGCUAGAGUCUUGUAGAGGGGGGUAGAAUUCCAGGUGUAGCGGUGAAAUGCGUAGAGAUCUGGAGGAAUACCGGUGGCGAAGGCGGCCCCCUGGACAAAGAAAGACGCUAAGGUGCGAAAGCGUGGGGAGCAAACAGG
rnacentral:rRNA from 1 species